rnacentral:lncRNA from 1 species
AGGUUCUCAUUUAUUCUUCUUCUAAAGCUUUUCUGAUAGCUUCUUGAAAUAAGGGGAAGAGAAAUUGGGAUUGAAGGACUGAUUUGGAGGACAAAGAAUUGAGUAUUUGAUAGAGAAAUUGUUGUAAAUUUCUUGAUUUAAUUGCUUCUAAUGUUGAUUCUUUGGAUUGAGCAUAAUGGCUCCUUGAUGUACCCCAUUGCGUUGAACAUAAU